rnacentral:tRNA from 1 species
AGUUAAUGAACUUGAAUAAGUAUAUACUUUGAAAGUAUAAAAAAGAAGUAUAAUCUUCUAUUAACUU